UGAAUCAUAGAGCCACAUGUUCCCCAGAUU
rnacentral:piRNA from 1 species